rnacentral:SRP_RNA from 1 species
UCGUGCUAGAUGGGGAGCUAGCGGUGCCCUGAACCCCGCAAGGGGCGACCCGCAAUCCGCUCUAGCGGGAUUGAAUGCCACUCCCAGGAGUGGGCGUAUUGCACGGUGCGAACGGCGCAGCAUUGAAAGCCAGGUCCGACGCAGCAAAAGCCCGUGAACCCCGCCAGGACCGGAAGGUAGCAACGGUAAGCGGUCACUUUUGGGUGACGCCGGGGCGCUUGGCUGGAGCAAGCGAAUUCGUGCACGACGGGACGCUUGCCUCAAAGAGUGGUUGCACGA